AUUAGAUACUCAGCUAAGUACGUGAUCAUAGACAUAUAUUUGUCUCUGAACUUGUUUUCUCAUCUUUUUGUACCAUUUGUAGCAUGCUUCCUCUGAAAGUAACAGGAAACCCAACUCAAAAUGGAUUAAGAAAGUCGCUGUGGAAGAUAACAAACCCCCGAAUGAAGUCGACAAGCUUUGGCAUAGCUCAGACUUAGACUGAGGAAAGGAAGUGAAACUGACAAGACGAGGGUUGCUGUAAACUUCAGGGCAGAAUGGAGUAACAUCGUAAUCAGUGGACAACACUUCUUCCACAGCCCUCGUUUUUAUUAAGGAAUGACAGUGGCACUAAAAGCAACCCCCGCCUAGCACGAUCUGGAGUGAGAACCUCGCCACCUCUGUUCUUGCUUUCCCAUUCAUUAGGACC